rfam:Ciona savignyi cont_33740, whole genome shotgun sequence.
GUCGUCGUGGCCGAGUGGUUAAGGCGACAGACUAGAAAUCUGUUGGGCUCUGCCCGCACAGGUUCGAAGCCUGUCGGCGACG